AUCUCCUGAAGCAGAUACAUUUCUCUGACUAGAUGUUGCCUCAGCUGCUGUGUUGCUUUGAGCAUUCAUAUUCUGGCCUGUUGGGCUACUUUGAUUAGGUGAAACAGGAGAUGUCUCAGGAAUGACCGGUGUUUGAUCGGGUGGCAUGGUUGGAAUGGAACUUGUAUCAUCCUGUUCGAUUACUGAAGCUGGAAUAGAAGGAAUUUUUGCACGAUUAGUAGCCUUACUCCUACCUGUGGAAUUGCCGACACGAUAUCCACCUCGAG
rnacentral:lncRNA from 1 species